UUUCGUUCACCCUUAACUGGGCGCAGUUCGAGCUAUACCAAGGAACGGGGGAUAGC
rfam:Marine metagenome ctg_1101668324310, whole genome shotgun sequence.